GCGGGUGUAGCUUAGCGGUCUAAAGCACUGCCCUGUCACGGCAGGGAUCGCCGGUUCAAAUCCGGUCACCCGCGCCA
rnacentral:tRNA from 1 species